UAGUACGGCGAGUGACCGGGAAGAAGCUCAAAUUUGAAAUCUGGCGUGCUCAGUGCGUCCGAGUUGUAAUCUAUAGAGACGUUUUCCGUGCCGGACCGUGUCCAAGUCCCUUGGAACAGGGUAUCAAAGAGGGUGACAAUCCCGUACUUGACACGAUGACCGGUGCUCUGUGAUACGUCUUCUACGAGUCGAGUUGUUUGGGAAUGCAGCUCAAAAUGGGUGGUGAGUUCCAUCUAAAGCUAAAUAUUGGCGAGAGACCGAUAGCGAACAAGUACAGUGAUGGAAAGAUGAAAAGAACUUUGAAAAGAGAGUUAAACAGUACGUGAAAUUGCCAAAAGGGAAGGGUAGGAGGUCAGAGAUGCGGCCUGGGAUUCAGCCUUGCUUUUGCUUGGUGUUUUUCCCAGAUUGCAGGCCAACGUCGGUUUUGGGCACUGGAGAAGGGUAGGAGGAACGUGGCACCCCUCGGGGUGUGUUAUAGCCUCCUACUGGAUACAGCGACCGAGACCGAGGACAGCAGCGUACUCGCAAGAGCGGGCCUUCGGGCACCUUUACGCUUAGGGCGUUGGCAUAAUGGCCCUCUACCACCCGUCUUGA
rnacentral:rRNA from 1 species